GGCCUCCCUCUGUGGGGCGAUCGAUCAUGGGGCCUCCCCCCACUGAUCGCCUCGCAGAGGGUAGCC
rnacentral:pre_miRNA from 1 species